UGUUAAUUAAUUAAUUUAAGAUUAAUAAUCGUGCUACUCAUGGAGGAAAGGGAAGAAGGAAAGGAGAUACGAAAACUGGCGAGAUUCGCCUUAUGACCGUGCUGAAAUAUUCGUGGUUACAUGACCAUCUAUCGUUAAGACGUCGUCAACUGUCACAACUGACAUGGGGUCGUUCUCGGAAAGGUCGCUGCAGGAUCAUUAAGGAAUGUUCGGUUAGUUGCGAGUUUGAACAAAUAGUACAGAUGUGGCGAUGCAAGAAACAUUAAACGAGACCGAAUGUGCGGCCCUCCUGAAAGAUGUCAAGUGGGGGGACCCAGGUCUGCUCACUUCGUUGUCCAUUUUGGCACUAAUCAACGUGAUGGUGAUUGUCGGUAAUUGCCUGAUCAUCGCUGCCGUCUUCUGCUCUUCCAAAUUACGUUCAGUUACUAAUCUCUUUAUUGUCUCGCUUGCUGUCGCCGAUUUAUUGGUCGGCAUCGCCGUAUUGCCCUUUUCUGCUACAAGGGAGAUAUUCGACAUAUGGAUAUUCGGAGAUACAUGGUGCAGCAUGUGGUUGGCAUUGGAUGUAUGGAUGUGCACCGCUUCUAUAUUAAACCUUUGUGCUAUUUCUUUGGAUCGGUACGUGGCUGUGACACGACCGAUUACCUAUCCGAACAUCAUGUCUACGUCCAGAGCCAAACUGUUGAUCGCAGGACUUUGGAUACUCAGCUUUGUCAUUUGUUUUCCUCCACUGGUUGGAUGGAAAGAUAAAAAGGCUGAGAACGCUAGCAACGUGACGGAAUUGGAAAAGGACACUCCGUGCCCAUGGAAGUGUGAACUGACUAAUGAAGCUGGAUACGUUGUUUACUCUGCUUUAGGAUCCUUCUACAUUCCCAUGUUCGUGAUGUUGUUUUUCUACUGGCGUAUUUAUAGGGCUGCGGUGAGAACCACACGUGCCAUCAAUCAAGGAUUCAGGACUACCAAAGGUUCUAGGAAAUUCGGAAACCGUUUCGACGAACAAAGGCUGACCCUCCGCAUUCAUAGGGGUCGGGGCCACUCAACGCGAUAUGGCUCAUCUCAGAGUUCCACGAGCAACAGCACAUUAACCGCGGAUAGCGCGUCUCCAAGCCCUUCCUCUCGUGGACGACACGAACGAGUCAAAAUAAGCGUGAGCUACCCAUCAAGUGACAAUCUUUCUUCCCAUUCAACGCCCCAUCUGCUAUCUGUGAGCCCGACGUCUCCUGUUCAUUCCAUCAAUUACACAGUACAUUACUCUAACGAAAGGGGCACUUCGGUUACCAUGCUUGACCCAUCCGAGACGCAUUUGAGGGUGAAAACUAUGGCUGAUAACCAUCGCAGGCAUUCGACGAAAUCGGCUAAUUUCGACAUAGAACGAGAUAGGAGUCCCAGUCCGAGUAUUUGUGACGACGGCACUCCCCUCAGGUCAAAAGUAAUGUCACGAAAGAUGGGAAAAAGGAACAUUAAAGCGCAAGUGAAACGGUUUCGUAUGGAAACUAAAGCGGCUAAAACUUUAGGGAUUAUUGUUGGUGGUUUUAUAUUUUGUUGGCUGCCGUUCUUUACAAUGUACCUGGUGCGCGCCUUUUGCCAUCACUGUAUCCAUCCGUUAGUGUUUAGUGUCUUGUUCUGGUUGGGCUACUGCAACAGUGCUAUAAAUCCGUUGAUUUACGCCCUAUUUUCUAAAGACUUUCGAUUCGCGUUCAAAAGGAUCAUUUGUAGAUGCUUUUGUAAAGGUGGCGGUGAAUCUACUUCUAGGAGAGGUUCCGACGGAUCUCAGAUGCAAACUCGACACUUCCGAACCCCAAGCUAUAACAAUCGUUAUCAAGAAGAGGACAUUGAUAACAGAAACGGCUAUCAUAGGUGACGUAUGAAGAAACCAUCUCUAGCACGUAUGUACCUACAUAGGAAUCCUGCAUUUAAGGUUGCGAUGCACAUUUACGGAUAGUAGUUACUGUAAUAUUGUAAGGGAGGUAAAGUUAAACAAUCGAACAUAGGAAAAUAUUUGAAGACAGAAAAAUUGCAAGCCUCUUAAACAUUUUGGAUAAGCGCUUUCUCGGUAGAUAUUUAUCAAAAGCAUGCACCCACGAGCUUUUCCGGACGCUUUUCUUAUCUUGCCAUGUUAAUUACAUAAUUUAAACAACAAAAGCUUCUUGCUUUAGCUAAUUGUUUACAGGAUCUAUGCACUAGAACGAUUCGUUUUUCGUGGUUUUCGAUGUAUUAGUUUAAAAGUGUGCGGGCGACAUUUUUCGCGCGGUAGUGUAGUGAUUUUUGAACGAGUAAGGGACAAUGAAAAUUAAAUCGUUGGCAACGUUUAAUGAAAAGUACCCAUAAUGUAGGCGUCAUUACUCUCUAGUGGAUUGGUUUGGCUGUUACAAAUAUGCUUAAAAGGUACGCUUUUUACAUUUAUUUUCUGUAGCACCUCUAACUUUUUUAUUUCUCUUUUUAAUUUUUCUAUUUUGCUCUUGGUACAUGAAAAUUGCGUUCCACUCUUUUAAAUUAAGCGCUGUGCAAUUUCGUGUAAAGAACAUUUAUCAAGCUGAUUCAGGUUUUGUUUGCCUUUCAAAUAAAUUCGAUAUUUAACUUCAUACAUUUUAGUCCGGGAGUAAAAGGUUAAAUGUCAGUACAUAAUUCCACAAGUAUGAACCUUUACCUGAAUAUCAUAAAAAUAUGUAGUGCUUUUAAAGUCUACUACGACGUAAUUUAAUUAUUUACAAAAUUGGGUUUACGUCUGUUGUGGGAAAUCCUACAUCUACAUCUUCUUUCAAUUAAUCAAUGUUUACUAAGCAAUUUGUUCCAUUGAAUUAUGAAAAUAUAGAAGUUAGGAAUAACAACAUUGAUAGAUUGUUAAGUUUAUGUUCGAUACUUGGUACGUGGUACUUGGAGAAAACUUCUUCGAAGGAGUUUAAGUGCUUACUAAGUGGUAUCUCGAUGUAGUAAUUUUGGAAAUUGCUCCUUAUAGGCACUCGCCUAUAUAUUUACCUUUAAUGGACAUAAGACGAUAUGUUUAAUUAUGUGAUUAUAUUGCAACAAUGGUAAUUUGUGUUUGAAUAUUUGUUCUACCAAUUUUAUAAUUAUUACUUGUAUGAAGCGGAAGUAAUCAAACAAUACUUUAAUGUAUACAGAGUUGUAGGUAAUACAUUUAAGACGCAAGUAAGGUUGGUAUUGAAGAAUCCCCCAAAUACAGACAGCGUGCGCAAAUUCUGUUGUAUGCUAUUGGCCGUGUUCGAUACUGAGAUUUUUGUACAUCCGUGUUCCAUGACAAUGUUAUUGUGCAUGCGCGAGCACAUCGCUCAUUGGAGAACACGGUCAUUACGUAACUUCCGUUGCAAUCUGCGGCGCAACUUCCGUUGCAUAAACUCUUAACAAACGAAUAACUUCAACAAUACAUACAGUGUAUUUUUCGCUGUAAUCAGUAAAGUAAAUUAUGUAGUGCGGGUAACACUGGGAGAGUACAUAUACCUACGAAAAUAGAAACUAAUUUAUAUUACAUUGCAACUUUGUUAAUGAAAGUAACAAAAAUGGACGAUUGAAAAAUGACAGUUGGUAUGUUAAGACGACAAAAAAACUGAAUAACUUUACCUCCUAGCUGAAACAUAAUAAGUAUUAGGUAAUCUACGUCUGAUCUGAUGAAACAUUUUCGUGUUUUAUUAAUUUGUAUUUAAGGAGAGGGAAACCUGACGACUUACUAUAGAUUAGUAAACGUUAAUGUAAAAGAGAACACAUUAUUGUAAAACAAUCACCACUCGUAUGUAAAAUGUGUAGGUAUCUUAAUUUAACAUGGUGUCAUACAUUUUUUACUUGUCAAUCAUUAACAUUUUCCAUUGCAUACGUUUUCAAAAUAAAUUUUGUCAUUUAGUCCUCAACGUCUUGUGACAAAUAAUCAAAUUAAUAACAUCGUGGCAGAAAUUAUAAAACAAAAAUGCCUUUACAAUA